rnacentral:rRNA from 1 species
AUUGAACGCUAGCGGCAUGCCUUACACAUGCAAGUCGAACGGCAGCACGGAGCAACCUGGUGGCGUGUGGCGAACGGGUGAGCAAUGUAUCGGAACGUGCCCAGUAGCGGGGGGUAACUACGCGAAAGCGGAGCUAAUAACGCAAAAGCCCUAAGGGGGACAGGGGGGGAGCGCAAGACCUCCCACCCUUGGAGCGGCCGAUAUGGGAUUAGCUAGUUGGUGAGGUAAAGGCUCACCAAGGCUUCGAUCCGUAGCUGGUUUGAGAGGAUGACCAGCCACACUGGGACUGAGACACGGCCCAGACUCCUACGGGAGGCAGCAGUGGGGAAUAUUGGACAAUGGGGGCAACCCUGAUCCAGCAAUGCCGCGUGUGUGAAGAAGGCCUUCGGGUUGUAAAGCACUUUUGGCGGGAAGGAAGCGGUGCCGGAUAAUACCUUGGGCCACUGACGUUACCCGCAGAAUAAGCACCGGCUAACUACGUG